rnacentral:rRNA from 1 species
UGGGGAAUUGUUCACAAUGGGCGCAAGCCUGACGACGCAACGCCGCGUGGAUGACGGUACCGUAAGAAGAAGCACCGGCUAACUACGUGCCAGCAGCCGCGGUAAUACGUAGGGUGCGAGCGUUAAUCGGAAUUACUGGGCGUAAAGGGUGCGCAGGCGGCCCCGCAUGUCAGGCGUGAAAUCCCCGAGCUCAACUUGGGAAUGGCGCUUGAAACUACGGGGCUGGAGUGUGGCAGAGGGAGGUGGAAUUCCACGUGUAGCGGUGAGAUGCGUAGAGAUGUGGAGGAACACCGAUGGCGAAGGCAGCCUCCUGGGCCAACACUGACGCUCAUGCACGAAAGCGUGGGGAGCAAACAGGAUUAGAUACCCUAGUAGUCCCUGAGCGGGCUGGCAAGGCGCAU